UACGUAGGUGGCAAGCGUUGUCCGGAUUUAUUGGGCGUAAAGAGCUCGUAGGCGGCUUGUCGCGUCGACUGUGAAAACUUGGGGCUCAACCCCAAGCUUGCAGUCGAUACGGGCAGGCUAGAGUUCGGUAGGGGAGACUGGAAUUCCUGGUGUAGCGGUGAAAUGCGCAGAUAUCAGGAGGAACACCGGUGGCGAAGGCGGGUCUCUGGGCAACAACUGACGCUGAGGAGCGAAAGCGUGGGGAGCGAACAGG
rnacentral:rRNA from 1 species